rnacentral:rRNA from 1 species
CAGUAGCCGCGGGAAUACGAAGGGUGCAAGCGUUACUCGGAAUUACUGGGCGUAAAGCGUGCGUAGGUGGUGGUUUAAGUCCGUUGUGAAAGCCCUGGGCUCAACCUGGGAAUUGCAGUGGAUACUGGGUCACUAGAGUGUGGUAGAGGAUAGUGGAAUUUCCGGUGUAGCAGUGAAAUGCGUAGAGACCGGAAGGAACAUCUGUGGCGAAGGCGACUAUCUGGGCCAACACUGACACUGAGGCACGAAAGCGUGGGGAGCAAACAGGAUUAGAUACCCCUGUAGUCCCUGUCUCUAUACA